rnacentral:rRNA from 1 species
GACAGAGGUCCCGAGCGUUAGGCGGAAUCACUGGGCUUAAAGCGUGUGUAGGCGGCGGCCUAAGUACCUUGUGAAAUCCCACGGCUCACCCGUGGAACUGCAGGGCAUACUGUCGUGCUUGAGGCAGGUAGGGGCCACUGGAACUCUCGGUGGAACGGUGAAAUGUGUAGAUAUCGAGAGGAACGCCCGCGGCGAAAGCGGGUGGCUGGGCCUGUCCUGACGCUGAUACGCGAAAGCGUGGGGAGCAAACGGG